GGUUACUCUGGUGCUGAGCAUGUGGAUACAGCGGUUAAAUGAUGACUUAAUAGUUAUCUUUGAGACAUCUGUCAAAAAACACGACUAUAGACCGAAGAAAGUCCGGACCAGACUGUGAUCAGGACGCGUGUAAAAACUCGGGGAAUGAGGGAAAAACAUUGUGAUCGCCAUCCCGGGAGAGUCCUGCUAGCUUUAGUGCAGCUAAUGAAUCAACUUCGAACCACAGACCGCCGCCUGUGGUGUUUGCCAAUCUGGACAUCUCUGGAUUUAUUAUUGACGAGGAAGCAGCCACUCAACCCAAACUGAGAAGAUUCACAGCUACUGUAAGAAGUGGAAAACCGCGGUCAUUCAACGCCAACUAGUAUGGGGAAGUACAAUAAGAUGGAGUACAGUAAGGAACAAGAUGCAGUGUUUGUACAGCCUGUAGCCAUUUUCCGGAGAUGCACACAGAGACUACUUUUAUCAGUUAUCCUGGACAUCGCGAUGUUGUGCACCAAGCUUGAGAUACCACUCAGGGGCCACAGAGAAACCCAUGUGUUCAACUGGAAGCCCAGGAGACCCCACCUUGUGUAACAACUACCAGGUAAGACAGUGGUUUUAUUUGAUGUAUUCUGGCCCGCCGUGGCAUGUUAUGAUUGUGAUUGUGAUUGCGUGAAUAGCAGUAGCCUACAGUAUAUCUACAGUGUAAAUGUAUUUUUGAGAACUUCAUAAAAAAUGUAAAAAAUCGUCCGAUUAAUCUGUAAUCGGAUCCCCCGAUAAUCAGUAUCGGCAUCGGCCCCAAAAAAUCCAUAUCUGUCGGGCCCUGGUUCUAUGCAAUCAGUAUAAAAAGAUUUAUUGUACCAGUUGAAUAGCAUACACUAGAUGAAAAUACACAUGAAAGUGAAGAAGUGACUGUUAUUGAGGGAGAGAGAAGGUGAGGAAGGGCUGGGGUGGAGAGUGGGGGGGUAGUAGGGAUAUGGCUCAAUUUACCCCGCUCCUAUGAUCAACUUACCCCAUAAAGGGGGUAAGUUGACCAUAGGAGACCACUUUUUUUGGUAUGCUAUAUUAUCAAGACAGUUAUGUUUACACUCAUUUUGUUGGUUUGCAGGGAUACACAACAUCUUGAAAUAUAUACAGAUAUACUAGUUAGAGACAAAACUAUGAUCGCCUUAAUAGUGAUCUGAAAUAUGAAAAAUGACUUAUCUUAUCCCACUCUCCCCUACUAAGUUUACCUUGUGUCCAGAGCAGAUGAUGUGUGAUGUUUUGAGUUAUUAGCUAGUAAAAGGGGGAAAACAUGUUUGAGCCAUUUGUUGUAUUUUCUUUGCGUUUGUGUUUUGAAACCUUUAUCAUUUGUAAUCGUCCUGUAGUCCUAUGUCCACCACCAGUGUUCAUGUUGUGUUGCAGACACUCCAAAAUUCAGGGCUGUUUCAAUUGUACCUUCUCUGAUAAAUGCACCAGAGUAGAAACCAUCUCUAUUAAGGCUGCUCUGCAUCCUGAAAUCGCCCCAAACAACAACAAACCCCACCGUGCACAAAGGUACAAAGGCCUGUCAUUGCCGUUUGUGGCAUCCUUUCAUUUUGUUUCCGUCAUCUGAAACCCAGCUGCAGCCCCCUGCAGAGAUUCUUCCUAAACCUUCUGAUGGUGAGCAGUAAAACCGUCAGCCGUCUUCAUUAAGAGAUCCAGAAACUGUUUUAUGUUCAUACAUGUGUGUUUGUGCAUAUGGGAAGAACGGUAGACAGACAAAAACAAAGGAGUUGUGUGUCAUCUGCAUAUGGUGAGCACACACACUCAGACUCUCUCCAGCAUCACAAACUGUACAACACAUUGUUUUAAUUACACAGGAAGUAGGCCUGUGACAUUCUUCUGCUUAUUUAUGAUGUGUUGCAGUCAAAUACGUCUACAGCAACCAAGAGGGGGAAACCCAGGGCAGCAGUUAGUUAGGAAUUUAAACCACUGUGUCUGGAAAACUCUCAGUUACUGCAGAGGCUGAUUAUCAAAACAAAAACAAAUGCACUUAUGAUAAUUUUAGGAGCAAGAAACUUGGUUGUUUUAAGCGUUUAUUAUCUUGACUUUAUUGUAUAAGUGUGCAAAUGACCUCUUUAAGCCCCAGAUAGCUUGACAGUCUUCUGGCUUUAUAUACAGAGCUGCAUUGACUCUCUUCCUGCAAAGCUAAAUUUCCCUGUUUCCCACUCUUAGUAUGCUCGCAGGUUCACAGGUUAGGACCAUAGACUGUAUAUAGAAUGGACGCCAUCUGCCCCCUCGAUGGGUGAAGCCACUCCGAGAACAGCACCCUCUGGUGGAUGGAUGCAGUACAGGUCAUAAAUCCCGCCUCUGCCAGCAAAGCUCAUGGGGCUGUGAACAAGCUUUAGAAAUGUAUUACACAGAACAUAAAUUUUUCUCCCCCUUGCAUGCGAUGUUGACCUGUUGUUAUUGUAAGACUCUCCUCUUUUUUUCUGUGCAGCUCUGUUUUUAAAAGUUAUUCGGAGGUUCAAGUUUUCUAUGAUUGACACUUGAUACAGCCUAUGGGCGUACAAAGAUUGCAUAGCUCACCCGGGGGAUACGCUGUUUGAGCCGAGCGUCAUCACAGCGACUUUCGGUGACCCCCCCGCCGAAUGCGUACAACGCAACUGCGCAAUGUUGGUUUCAAGAAAUAAAGAAAAUUCACCAAAAUACCGAGAGCUCUUUGGCUUCAAAUCCAUAUACUAGCGGGAGGCGGAACCAAGUUGUCCAUAGUAUAUACAGUCUAUGGUAAAGACUGAAAGGCCUGCAGCUGAUGAGCUUGAGGAGAAUGAACUGGACUUUAGAGAGCUAGCCAGUUUGUGCAAAGCUGGUCUAGAGUCAGUCCUGCUCCCUACUUUAUUCUUUCAACUUAUUGCUGCAGUUGAGUUGAAGACAAUAGAGAGAAGCAGACACAUCUUGGACAGACCUAACACAGAGGGAUGUCUGUGUAUUUUGUUUCAUUUUUUAUUUCCUUUUUUGUAAGCUGGAGUAAAGUAGGUAAAGCCCACAUGUCAGUGCACCCAUCAUGUUCCCAUAGAGCUGUUAAGGGUCUGUGUUGCUGUAGGUUAAAGUUAAUGCAACAGUUUUAAAACAGAGGGCUGCUGCUCAUGCCUGGAUGUCUCAGUGUAAUUUUAUAUUUCUUUUUUUUAAUCUCUAGUGAGUGAGCUGCCAGCUUUAGUUGUGUAGGUUACAGAGCAGGCACGCUGGGAGCUAUCUAGUUACUACUGCAUGUGCGUGUGUAUGUGAGUGUGAGUGCAGGCGGGGCGUUUGUUGAGUGGAAAAUGGCCUCUAAAGCUCCUCUACUCACCUUUCGCAGUGACAACAUCUAGCACGGUGCAGCGACCCUCGAAUCCCCUCUCUCAGCCGUCAGCACCCUCCUCCAGAUUUCCCUUUUUGAGGCUUCACAACCUGUUUUUGGAGUGAUAGAAGGAUAAAGUGGUUUUGCAGGAGUAAAUGCCCUUCAACAGAUGGUCAGACACGGCAGAGGGAUAGCGCGUGGAGGGGGUGGUGGGGGAGGUGGUUUCCAGGGAGGUCCUGGUCCAGCACCCUCUGUGGCCGAAUGUGACAAAAUGCAAAGUGGAAUUCGCCGGCCCCCUCUGGUCCAGAAUUGGCGCAGGGAAAGAGCAUGUGAGAGGCACGAUGGCAUGUCCUUCGCAGGCCGGGCGAGCUUGUGUGACAGCUGCGAUGUUUAUAGGCCGGCUUCGAUGACAGUCAGCGGGGGACGGCUCGGCUCUUUUCAGACAGGAAUUAGGUUUGUCAUCAGAUUCUAAAAUCCUUCUGAUUUAUGACGUUUCCACUCCUGUUUUCCCUCGUACCCCUUUGACCCCCACCGACAAACGCCCAGCAGGGAGACGAUGACUUUCAGCAAAAUUGUUUGUUUGUUUACCUCUUACUUUCACCGCAAAGGAUGGAUCUCCCACCUACACCAAUGAGCACCAUGCAGCUACACCAGUGGCACAGUUUUCUGCUCUGCUUUCGUAGAGCUUUGGAAAACGCCAAUCACUCUUUGAUUUAUUACACUUUGAAGGUCAUUUUCAGUCUGGGCAGCUCUGCUUCAGGGUGAAAUUUAUCUUCUUGUUGCGUAUUUAGCGAAAAAACUCUGCUAGUGCUUGUAUUUGGAUGUUCGACUACUUGGUGAUUAUUUGACAACUGCUGCAUAACUAGUGAAAGUCUGAGUUUUCAUGCUUUUCUCAGUUGUGGGUUAUUAAAACAUCAACAUUUUAUGCCAGUUUGACCGAGGGAAAACUUUGAUGCCAUAACCUUGGUAUAGCAUCCACCCCCUCCCUCAAAUUACAGCAUCUAAAAGCAGAGCUGGCUCUUGGCAUUGGCCACAUAGUGUAGGCAGUCUCCUAUACUGCUGUAUUGACCUUAUUUGUGAAUGACGUAUACUGAUGAAAAAUAUGAUGCGUUUUUCCCUUUGACCUUGUUGCGCUCACGCUGCAUCAUUGUAGAGCUAGCUGAAGCUCCCACCAUUAUGAGCAUGAGGCUGUCCUUACAUCAUUACGUCACAGUCUCAUUUCCAACCCUUAAGGUCCUUACGCACUGCGACCGACACGAAUAUAGAACGCGAAAUUACAAAAUAUUCGGAGGAGAAUUUUGACACCCCUGACUAUACACAUCAAGCCCGAUGCGAUUUUGCGACUUUCCAGGGGGGAGAAGACUGACAAAACAUCAGACUGAGUGUUUUCAGUUCUGAUUAGAAACUAGUGUUGAGAUGUCUGUCUGUAGCAUGUAGCAUAUUAUUCUGCUGGACUAUAGAUAGCAUUUACUGAGUCGGGGCCAGUACCAGAUAAGCACAUUAAACUAUAAUCCUUAAAUGUAAGGUAACAACCGAGACCAAAUGGUGCUGUGACAGCGACGCGAUUGAGUUUGAGACAGUGAAAAUACAUAUGGUAUGUUGUAUCUGAACAGGUUAGCUUACGAGCUAAAGUUACUUAGCACAGAUGAAAGUUAAAACAAAGACGUUUAGCAAAUUGUUAAAGCACACAAACCAUCGUCAUAUGAUAGUAGAUCCGAUGCUAUGACUCUUUCAUAAAAAACUUAAACUGAACUCAUCUGGUUGACUGUUACUCUUUUAAGUAUUUUUAAGUCCAUCUAUACCUAGUAAGUAAAGGAUAUAGCUCCAGUAGAUAAUAUGCAGCAUAUACGACUCUUGCGUUCAUAUGGCCUUUUCUUGAAUAUUGCACUGUGAAACAACCCUUCUGCUCUAUUUCUAACAUAAUUGAAAGCAAAUUCCUCAGAACAAGAGCUGAGUAAAAAACUUCAUUCAGGUCAAAAGAGUAAAAUCAACAUGUGUCUCAAUCCUGCUUAACAUCAUCUUGCAUUUUAGUAGCAACAGUACUCCUUGUCUCUAAAGCCUAUCAUCUCUGGGGUGAUGCUGCUUUAAAUUUAGCAGUUGUAGCUGUGGGCUGAAUAACAGUGACAGAACAGCUUGAGCAGUACAUAUUUUUAAUAACUUAGGUCAUUUGUGAGAUCAAAAGUUUGGCCAAACUGAGUUUGCUGUCUCUGCAUGACAUAAAACAGGAUGUGCAAGGAGCCUUCAAAAGAAGAGAGAGACCAGUAUGUUGGAUUCAAGGUCAGAUAUUUGAACAUUGUUUUGAAGUCUGAAUCAAAGCGUGAGAAGAUGCAGGAGAUUUUUAUGGGGCAGGCUUUUAUUUAAUGGUGUGUGAGUGGAUAAACUAACCAAAAGAAGAGUGUUCAAAUCAGGCAUGCCUUGAUGUUGAUUGUAAAUAUGGAUUUGGUAAAAAGAAGAUAAUAUUUAAGUCACUCUGUGUUCUGAGGUUGGCAACCAUACAAAAAGUUACCCCUGUUUUCAUUGAGGUCCUCCAGCAGUGGCUGUCAACUUUUAAUUUCCCAUAAUGGAUGGAUUGUUUUUCUGGACUUAACCCCCAGAUGACAAAAACAUGCAUACUUAGUUUGAAAGAAAAACAUCAUCCAAAAUAUUUAUGGGUUAUAACCAUCAGUUUAUGGAUAAAAUACAGAUUUAAAUGUGAAACCAAGUUGGUUAACCAGCCCCUUACAGUUUAAAAAAGAAGAAGAGAAAAAAAAAGGAAUUUUAUACAAGUCUGUGGUCCAAGUGCUCCAAAGAAAUCAUCUUCCUCCAGUUUUUUUUAAUCAUUUUGCAAAUCAGGAAGUAGUUUUAUUUCUGUGUUUAAUUCUACAAAUGACAAAUCUAUCCAAGGUUGUGUGACAGGCAGGUUUUUUUUAAUGGAAUAUAAGGAUAUGUCAUGGUCAGAUCAAGAAAGACAUCACACGUUAAAGUCAGGGAAGUAGUUUAUCCACCCACUGCAAGUAAAGAGAAGGAAGAUCUCUUGGUAUCUGUGACAGUAUCCAAUUCAGGGACAGAGCUUUGGGUGGGCGUGGCUAUUCACAGGCCCGCCCAGAUUGACAGAUUGCCCACCUAGUGAGAUUUAUGAUUUUUUUAUAUAAAUAUAUUAUUUACACAGGUAUACAUUUGCUGUGGGACGAAUUUUAUCGUAUCACAAAACCUUUACACACACACAUCUCUCAUCAGAUUUAAAAGUAAUUAGGCCCAUUCGGAUUUUUGCAGCCCACCUAUUCGCCACGUUCUGGCUCUGCCACUAAUCCAAUUUGAUGCAUUAAAGGCCAAACAUGUAUUUACCUCAAAAUCCCAUAAUCUUACAGUCCGGUAUGCAAUAUUGAGGUAUUGAAUCUGCAUUUUAAAGGACUCCUUUUUAAGUAUUCCUGGAUGGGUUGUAUGGGCUGUUUAUCAACUUGAAUUAUUACCUGCAGAGAUGAGGAUUGCUUAGCCCCCGGUUGAAGAAGCCAGUCAACACUUGGGCUGAACUUAACACCCUGUGGACAGAGUCAGCAGCGACACUUAUUUUAGCUUCCUAAAUAAGGACAGACAGAAUUUUAAAAGCAACUCUUACUCAUUUGAAUCCAUUCACAACUCAUAAACCAUCGCUUUGAGCAUCAUCAUCAUCUAGACUGGGCUAAUGCAAAUAAGCAGGAUGGCUCAAUUUCACUUUCAAGGCAUUUGUUGUGUUGAAAGCAGGAAAGCUAGUAAUAUCGCCCCUUAUCUUCAUGGGCAUAAACAGGGAGGAAACAAAACUACCAGCUGUGUUUGGACUUCACUGCUGGGCUCAUUAUUCUGCACGUGUCAGUCCGAGAUGACUUGAUGAGCGAGGUUUCCUUUUCAGUGGUCUCUAAUCUCCCUGAUCCGCCCAGCCCCCACCUAUCAUUUACAAAGAAACUAAUGAACAGACUGAUUUAGAGAUUACAAGCAGACCAGAGUCUCAUUGGAGCAGGGAAUGAAAUGACAAAAUAUAUCACCUGACAACUAAUUAAUGAGGAGAUUAUGUGUUGAACAUCUCUUUUAAUAGGAGAGUGUCAUCAAUACCAGGAGGGUUGUGUGGCAGUGGAGUCAUGUUGGGAGGCAGUUUUACACGAGGAAACCCAGCAGAUCACCAGGGGGAGGCUGUGGGGUUAUUUUAGGUCGAAGCAUUCGGGAAAUAACUGUGAAAUUUUUGGUUUCACAAUGCAAAGUCAAGGCUGGGAUCAGUGUUCAGUUUCUGCUUACCUAACAUCAUGUCAAGUCGUCAGCUGGAUUAUGGUUUGCUAGAUAUUUGUAAGCCUUAAAACGCUUGUCUCCACAUCUACAUUUUUACACUUUAGAGUAUUCAAACAUUUCUAAAGGUAGUUGACUUUUCUCACAUAUGUUUAUUUUUAAUAUAUGUUUUUGGAAUUGUUAAAUUAUGUGUUUUGGAAAACAUAUUUACAGGUUACCAGUUAGGCAGGGUAGCCAGAUGACUAAAAAUUCACAAAACCCACUCAACGCCUCAAUCAGUAUUUUUUAUAACUCCACUUUUUGUGAUGAGGAAGUAACUCACUGUAGAUUUGAUAGACAUAUCUUGCAAUUUAGCUUGCGCAAAAACACUGAAAGACCAAAAACGAGCAAACAUAAAGGGGGGACUUUAUUAUUUGCAGAAUUUCCAUAGAAAACAAUUUCUAAGUUCAUGCUCUUUAGGUAAAGAAACUUUCCAUUUUUUCAACUUACAAAAAGGAAAUCAAUCCAGGCGGCACUUCCUCACAUCUUAAAAAAAAAAUGACACCCAGCUAUGUGACACUUCCUCUCUCCUUAUCUGGGGAAUUUAUAAGCUCUCCUCCAUGCCAGGUGCUCUGACCAGGGAAUGCACACACACGCAAACACACUAACAGUGCAGACGCUCAAAGGAACCAACAAAACCAACAAAUGAAUAUUUACACUUUACAGAAAAGAUGUGUAACUUGAGACUCCCUUUAUAAGAUUUUAAAAAUGUGGUAAGAAUUCCAGAUGAUAAUUGACCACACCCUCAAAAAUACAGUCAUACUGUGUGUCCUUGUGGACAGGCCUUUGUUCCUCCCUCCCCUACCACCCUGGUUCUCCUUUCUCUCUGGUCCUGCUGCUAACAGAGAGUAUUUCACAAGCUGUAAAUUCAGAGCAGAUAUAUAAAUCACAGAGGGCACAGCUCAGGGGGGGCCCAGUGACGGGAUCUGCAGACUUUUGCCCCAGGGGUCACUGGUGCUAUUCCAAACUCAGUCGAGACCUUCAACUACUGAUGGGAAGACAAGGAGAGGUUAGGAGAGACAAAGAGGAGGAAGAGGGGGGGCAUCUCUGUACUUAGCAGGAAUCGGACAGAUCCACCUCACAGGUGAAAUCCUUUCAUGAUGUAUCUGAAUCUGAUAUCCAGCUGACAGACCAAGAUUUGCUUCCUGGUUAUGUCUGACCUGACUGGCUGGUUGUUCUUGCCGGGUUGCUAAUGUUUCAUUGGAGUACUUAUUCAGGCUUAAUUGUUCUUAGGGUGGUUCACUUUCUCUGUUAUAGCUUAUAUUUUCUUUUCAGCCCAUAUGAUCAACUUCACCAUCACAAGUGAGCCUACAAUACAGCUUGUUUAUUCAAUGGAAACAGGAAUAAAUGUGAAGAAGGAUGUUGGAUUAUCUAGUAAGUAAUGAAAACCCAGUAAUAACAGUUGGAGUAGCUGGAAUUAGGCAGGAACAGCAGCAAUGAUCCAAAGGAACCUACAAGACAAGGGUUCAGGGACUCCCAGGAAGUCCUGCAGUUGUGACUUUAUCAGAACAUGAAGAUCAGAGACUACAGAUGAUCAGAAAUCCAAAGUCCUGCGGGGUUGGAUGAUAAUAUUCUUUCGGUAGAACACCCAGAAGUUGGUUCACAUAUGCAUUAUACUUAGAGUGCACUCACACCAGGCAAUCUGCACUAUACUCGGACAUAUUUGACCCCUAAUGACCCCUAAAGUCUACUGGAAUCUGGCUAGUUUGAGUGCUUCACACCCAGCCUAGAUAUGGUAUGCUUCUUUAGUUCUAGCAUGGUUGGAAGAGGUGGACUUUUGCACGGUACUGUUGAGGAGGUUUUGCACACCCCACUUCAUGUUGAUAUGGCCAUACAGAGAAAAGAUCUGGACUUGGAUGUUGUCAGGCUGUCGAGUUUGCUCAACUUCUUACCAGGACUUCACCCCAACUUUGGAAACAAAGCUGACAGACUGGUGAAAGUCAAUGCAGAGAGAUUUCCCAGACUUUAAAGUUGGCACAUAUCUGCAUACCAACACUAUAUCUGCAUACCAACAACAUUAGGGUGUCCUGAGCGUGUUUUCUGCUGCCAAACUGAAUGACAUCCGACCAGCUGGACAUGCUUAUUUUACCAAGAAGAACAAGUAGGCAGAAACCGAACACGGAGUCGGAAAUGUUUUUCUUGUUGCAGUAAUUCUACAUUUAGUCACUGAGCCGGACUUCAGCGCUAAACAAUUUCAGUGUAUCUUUGUGCUUCAGCUUUACAUCCAGUUACAUCCAGUAUGUGGCUAUGGAAAAUCUAUGAUUCAGGGAAACAUGGAUUUCUUCGGAGUAGGCGAUCUCAUCAUAUUUACUCUAGAAAACACACACAUUUAAUUGUGUUAUCAAGAGAUGGUUCAUGGAUCCCUUGGUGCAUGAGUACAGCUCCUAAAUGUUUGACUGAAAGUGAAUAAAUAGAUGGAUAAAGUGUCUUCUAAAGCUAGACGGACUCCCAGAUUUUCAGAGCAGAUGGUUAUCAGAGUGACAAGCUGGCUCCAACAUGGUCACCUAUGAAUCGUGCGAUCCGAGCAAUCACAUGUAGAUCAAGUUUCAGAUUUGGAGGUUUUUUUUAAUCUGUGACUUGGCAGGGUGGGUGGUAACUACAACUCUUGUCGAUGAACACGCGACUGGAGAAUCCAUGUGGAAACUGAAUACACGAGUUAAGCCUCACAUCUGAGGUUCAGACCAAAGUAAACAAACUAUCGCUGUGAUCAGACACCAGCAGAGGUUUGGGAUUGUCCAAGGCUUGAUGUUCAAAAACAUGGCUCUGUGGCUGAGGUUUGUUUUUCUCAAAACCGCUGUGCUGCAACAAGAUGUCCUCCAUCCCCCGCCUCCUCCUCCUCUCCAAUCUGAUCUGCUCCUCCACCGUCGCUGAUCCAUCAUUGGCUGACAGAGUGUGUCUAUAGCUGAAUUUCUGCCCCACAAAUAGCCCGGCCAGACAAGCCUCGCUUUUUUGAGCCUCUGCGAUCUCCUGCUAUCUACAGUAAGUCAUGCGUUGUGUAUGCUGGUCCGCGAACACGCUCGGCCUGCUGAGGAGUGCCACGACCCUCGUUGCUGCCCUUGGUGACCCCCCACGCCAGGAUAUUUUAGUCCGACAACCCCCUGCUCUUCCUCUCUCUUUCUCCUUGUCUGUGCUAUCUCUCCCCCCUCUUCUUUCCCCUCCUCAUUAAUCAUCUGCCGGCUGGAGGUGAAAAAAACAAACAGUACCCCCUCCAGGACACAAGGGGCAAUUUUCAAGUGGUGGCAACAACUUUGCGACUUUUCAAAAAUAUUCUUUCCUCAGCGGGAGGUUCCAGUCCACCAUGAAUCUGCCAGCUGACAAAAGUUAGCACUCAGCGGAGUCUGUCAGUAACCCCAGCCCCUGUCUGACGCGGAGACAUCCACACCAACAAUUAGAACUUAAUAAAUCUGUUCCCCGUUUUAACACCUUGAUUCUCCACAGCGAGGGAUGUCUCUGGGGGGUGAUGUCUUGGUUGGAGAUGUCUUCGCUAAUUAACAGUUGAGGCGAGCAGACGAACAGGGUGAACUUUGGCUGAGCUUCAGGCUUGUUGGAGACUUAAAAAGAUGCUCCUUUAAAAAAAGUUACUACUCUUCUGAAAAAGUAAUAAUAGAUUUAAAGUGAAUGCCCAUAGUGUAUAUAAUCUAAAAUAGGUUUACCAUCACUUUUAUAUGUUAAAUAUCAUUAUAUAUGAUGUCAUAAUACAUGCAGCAUGUGUGUUUUUAUUGUCUUGCUGAAAUGUGCAAGGUCUCCCCUGAAGAAGGUGAUGUGUUGAUGUCAGUAGCUGUUGCUCCAAAACCUAUAUAUGUGGUUCAGCAUUAAUGUUGCCUGCCCAGAUGUGUACAUUAACCAUGACAGGGGCACUUAUGCAUCUUCAUAUCAUCACAGAUGUUGACACUUGAUCUGUGCUCUGAUGGGUGGCCUUCCUUCACAUCCAUGAUUUCUCACAGGAACAUCAAAUUUGGAUCUGUCUGACUACAAAACAGCCAAUCUUAAACGUAUUCCAGCCUGGAUCAUCUUAUUAUGGUUCGCUCUUUACAUGGCACAAGUUUAACCUGCAUUUGAAGAUGCAGUGACAAACUGAAUUGAUAGUGGUUUGUGGAGGUAAUUUUGAACCCAUGCAGUGAUUUCCACCACAGAGUCAUAUCAAUGCUGUCUAAGGGCCCAAAGAUUACAGAAUCCAUUAUUGGUUUUGGGUCUUAUACCUUUUGUACAGAGAUUUCUACAGAUUCUUUGAACCUUUUAAUAGAAAUGUGAAUUUACAGAUACCAAAAUUAACAAUACUUACCGAAGUCAUUUUGCCCAUGUCAAUAUAUUUGGUGUCAAAAAAUAUAGAAAUAAAAGUUGGUUUUGGAUGUGUGAUGGUAGGCUAUGGUCUCAUGUCCCUUUAAGACACUGUCGUACAUCAGAGAUGUGACUCCGCCCCAUCCAGUCCAUAACAAAAAGAAAAAAACAGAUGAGGAGACGGAGGUUCAGUAGUUGUAGCGGAGGCUGAAGUAGAAGAAGAUAACUGCUCAAUAUAUUGAGACAUUGAUUUGAGGCCAUAUCGCCCAGCUCUACCCAGUCAUGUAACCAUAUUAGUUCAAUCAGUUGGGAAAUGUUCCCAUUUUAAAUAUAGGGCCUCAAUGAUUUGCAACCCAUAGCAAUGUUUUUUUCCCAUUUAGAUUUAUCAUAUCAUCCCAACACGUUUUGGACCAAGUUUUAAUUUUAAGCCAUUUUUGAUGCAAAAUUUAUUAUCUGAGCUUCACAGAGUUAAACAAAGAGUAUUCUUAAGCUUUAAGUAGGCUAAAGGCGUGAUAUGGUAGCCUUAUUUUAAACUCUUAACCUGUAGGAUUAGCUGCAGAGCAGUUUGAAACAAUUCCAGAAAUAUUUUACUCACUUUACCAAAGUUUAAAUUCACUGACAUAAAUUUAAGAAGACCACAAGAGCCACUUUGUGUUAAAGCAGACUUGGAUACUGAUUUUGGUUUAUGGUAUAUUAGUUGUCAUUGUACUCGUCAGUCAGGAGGGCAAACUGACAGUUACGUAUGUUAUGGCAUGCGUGGAUGUGUAUCUCUGUGUGUUUGUGCCCAGGGGGAGGGUUGUGAAGAACACCUGUGCUAGAGGCAAUCUGUCUCUGUCCAAAGAAUGUGACAGUGACCCGGGAUGAAGGUGAGUGUGUGUGUGUGUUUGUAAGUGUGUGUGUGUGUUUGUCAGUGUACAAAAGCAGGUGCUCAGUUAUUGUUCUCAAUAAUGACAGACAGUAAGUCAUGUCUUCUCAGAGGCAGUUCUUUAAUGUAGUGUUGAGCCCUAUUAGGUGAUUAGCAGCAGCAGAGGCCGGGUGACAUACACUGCACUGCUAAUGGAAUAACUGUCUUCAGUUUGGGAGCACAAUGCAAGGUGCAGGGAGGAGAAAAACAUGGUUAUGUGACAGAUCUUAUCAUAGACACUGGUUGAAGGCUAUGUCAAAUUAAUAGUCUGUGGUGUGCACCUACAUACAGUACAUACUGUUUAUUCGUGCAUCUCCAUCCACUCUGCAAACUCUUGAUUCAAGACUUCAUUGCUAAAGUAACAUUUCUAACUCACUGUUGGGCUGAUUAUCAUUUAGUGGGUUGGACAUCAUUUGCAAUUCGCAGACAGUGCCACUAAAGCAAUACUUGUAGAAGUUCCAUCUCUCCUUUGUACCCUUUUCUCCACUGGCUUUACUUGGUACCAGUUAUCAUCCUCUAAACUGCUGUAGCUCCAUUUUCACAGACCUGAGAAACUUACUUUUUCUUUUAAUGCACUUUAGUCAUGGAAUAAUUUAAAAAAAAAAACUCUACAGGAACAAGUGCAGGUUUCAUCCACUAAAUUUAUCCCAAAAGAAAGAUAUCACUCCAGACAACUGACUUCAUUACAACAUAUACAGCUAACUUUGAGAUAUUGUAUAUAGAUGCUUUAAUGCCAGUGGGGUGUCAUUAAUAUGACAAUGACAUUUCACACAUCAACUGCCUAUCUUGGCCGACAUCAGCAGUCAUCUAACUUUUUAUGAGCUUGAAUGUUUGGUUGACUGCUACAACAUUAGAAGGUCUGCUGUAACUGAACCCUCCACCUCUCCUCCUCACUUGGUAUGCUCUGGAUGGUCAAGUGGAACAUUCCUGCAGACUGCAUUUCACUCGCUUGGCUCAGAUCUGCUUUAAUCACCUCAGCGAUGGCUGAGUAGCAGAUAUAGAGUUACAGUGCCAGGGAAUGAGAGAGAGACAGAGAGGGAGGGAAGGAUGGAUAGAAGGAGGGAGGACCCCAGAAUUACUUUUCCAUCAUUGGGCCAGGCAAGGUUUCACCGGGUCAGGGUAUGUUGGUGUCAAAUGGGACUGGCCACACUUGUUGUUUUCCCUAAAAUUAAGUCCCAACAUGGUUCAAAGCAAAAACAUUUGCAGUCAAAGAAGUUUGUUAUUUUCUUGUUUUAUCUUAACCAUAACAAUUCUUCUAUGUGGCAUCAUGAUAUCAGGAACAUUCUCGAAAGACGCCUUUCAUAACCAUAACAAAAUAAUUCAUGUCUGUUUUCCCCUCUUUCUUCUCUUUGUUAACUCUGUCUGCUUUGCCAAAAGCCACUAAUGUAACAGUAUUGUAUGGUCAGCUUGUUCUUUUGCUCUAAAGUGUACAUGUGUUUACAAUAUCAGCUCUGUAUAUGGAAGAAUAUGACGAAGCAACUUACAGUAAAAUCCACUCACCUUGUGAGACCGGCAUCUGUCAUGGGAUAAACACUUAAAGACUGUCCAGAUCCAAUCAACCAAAAAUGAAGGUGAACUGUGAGGAUUUCUGUACAAAUGUUAGUGAAAGACCUGACUAUACUAGAGAGAGGUUUCCAUCUUCAUAUUAGUGUGCAGACCAGCUGAAGUGUAAAAAUCCAGUUUAAAGUGAGAGUGGCCUGAAACUGAACACACACGCCCCUGUCAGUAUAGAAAUACAACAUACAGAGCUGUUUUAGAUUGUCGUUUUGAAGUUAUUUUAUGUUAUGGUGAGUAAGAUAAAUGGUCUUUAUGUGUGUUCGCAGUUUUUCCAUCUGUUACCUUGUGCUAGAAAAUAAUGCAUUCAAUUGCAUUAAGUUUUGAGUGUAAAAUACUGAUACUGCAGCUCAAAAAAAAAAAAAAAGUGGUCACAAGCAAAUCUUGAAUAUAGGCAAUACAAACCAAAUCAACAUGCCAAAAUAUCCAAAAUUACUACAUAUAUUAUGAAUUAUGAUAAAAAUUUUAUGGUAUGGUGUCUCAAGUAAAACUGUAGACAGUACGCAAGACAUGCCCGAGACAAAAUGGUUUCACAUGUACACUGGCAGGAAAAGAGAGAAUUGCGCUGACACUGAGCCAACCUCAGUAGGAAACAAUUCAAAGAGAGAACGAUGGAUCACUUCCUCGUCAGUGGACAAUCAUUAAACCGUUGGCGUGCUGAUGGACAGACAUUGUGUGAAUUGUGGAGUCAUGGAAAGUGCUGAUUAAUUAGAAGCCAGCUAAUUGGUAGUCGUCUGAAAUAAACGUAACGACCUGGUGACACUCAGUAUGAGCUGUGUAAACGAUCAGGCACAUGGCACCGUGACAGAGGGGUGAGGGACGCAAGGGCUGAGGGGGAGGAAUGGUGUAUAAUAUUACAUUAGAUGCACAGAUGACUGGUUUAACAGCACAAACAGGCACACUAUCCUGUAGGGAUGGAUGAAAUCUGUCUUCAAAUGUGAGAGGGGGGUCUUGUAGAUUAGUUUUAGGCUGAGCAGGACAUGGAACAUUGGCUGAGCUAGCUUGAUGCUAUUCAUAUCACAGUUUCCUCCCCACAAAAACAUCAAGGUUCAAGUCCUGACUCUGAGCACUGGAGAUGUUACACAAGAGAACUGUAUCUGUAUUUACAAGUAUCCCCAUCAGACAGACAAGGUUUCUACAUAACAGAAAAGCUCUGUUAGUUUUUAAAGAGAAAGGACGUCGCAAUCUAAGACAUGCAAAUACAAAGGGGUUAAUCUGCAAACACACCCUUGUUAUUUUGGCUUUAUAGCUUCUUAGACAGUCAAAUACACAAGAUAACUUUUGCAUACACAUAAAAAUAUGAACAAACCCAACGUAUCAAUUGGGUAAUGAUCAUACUGGUACAGUAACAUUCCUAGUACUUAUCAGUCUAUUCAGAUCUGAGCAGACGGCCGACUAGUUCUGCUGAGGACACAUGUUCUCCAAGUCAUGCAACCUGUCUACUUCUAAAACUAUUAACUUGGUAAGGCCUACAGAUUUGACAAUACAUACAUGAUUUGAAAUUAGUAACAUUUACAAUUAGUAAAUGACUACUGUCUUAACUUUGUGACUUUUCCUGUUUGUUGGUUGAGCGAAAGAUUAGUACAGCAUUCAUUGCAGCAAUGUGACACACAAGAUACAGAGUACUCAGAUUGGCACUUUAGCUUAUCAUGUUGGGAUACCAUAGUAUCCUGUCUAAUUGUGUUGAUAAAUGUGAAUGAAAAGUUUUUUCAUGUUGAUACAAGUUUGAACAUGGUUGAAAGAGAAGACCAAAGCAGUCGAUGAUCUGAUGACUGCAUCAGUGAAAAUAACUUGCUAUGCUAAUCAUUUCAGAAGACAUGAUCCGAGUCCAUGCUGACUGAUGAAUAGUGUUGUCUGUAAUUAUAUCUAAAUUGAUUUAUGGGGAUACAUUUCCAGAAGGCUUUGGCUGCAUGUAAGGUUGCACCUGUUCAGCCAGCUGGAAAUAUAAAGAGAGAGCAAAAGGUAAAGGGGCAUACGUACAAUAUACACUGGGUAUAAAUAGGAAGCCUGCAUGGUAAUAGAGCCUGCUGUGGAAAUGAAAAAUCUGUUUAUGUUUCACUUUCUUUUGUGCACUCAAUAUGCUGUGAACAGGCUUUGAAAUACCAUCAGGUAUCAGCUUCAUGAUCCAAGUUUUAUAUUUUGGCGAAUUUAAAUAAGAUUUACAUGGACUUUUUGAAAAUAAAGCUCAAUAUGAUGUCUAACGAUGAUAAUUUCCCCUCUUGAAUGUGAAAUCAAUGAUAGUAUAUCUCUAUUUUGUUUGAAUGGUUCAAUUACAACCUACAGUAUAGCGACAUGUCAGCUGGUGAAAGAUUAACUGUCCUGUCUUGGCGUUUUCCUGAACAGGAACAUUUGUGGUUGCAAUAAAGUUUAAGUUACUACAUUCUUGGUAAGUUGCAUUUCAAUGCUGCGCCGUCGAGCCAUUCACACGGUCACUGCAACCUUUCCCGUCAUUGACUCACUUCUCAGUUUUACUGGAGUGCAAAUUACAGCAGGGUGGGCUUUUCACAUUAAAGGCCAGUGGAAAUCUAAAAGCAGGGGUGAGACAGAGUGACCACCGGCAUGUGUGCGAGCAGCCGCCUCAUGUUCUAGAUAUCGACACAUCACAUGAAGAUUCCUCACCGCAUGCAUCAAUCUCUCACCAGGAGCCUGCAAGUGUGUGCUUCUGCAUGUGGCCCUGUGUACACCGGGAGUAAGUGUGAGGGUGUCAGAUACAUGACAAACAGACUCGUCUGUUAACAGGUACAUCACUGUUAUAAACUGAAUAAACUAAGAUGCCUUAGAUAGUGUGUUUACAACUGCACAACUGAGCUAUGUCGAGAUGGGACAUCACUUUAGGGACAUGCUGUAAGCUCAGGAGCUAAAAAAAUGAAGCUGAUAUGGAUGUACAAAAAACUGCAGUUCCUGAAAUAGCCACUUGAGGCUGGCUCCAGAAAAGAAGUAAUCUCUAUGUCCAAAUUCAUGGCAAAAUUUAACAUGUUUACAGUCCAGGAGAAAUAGCAUUAUGAUCGUCGUUCUCUUCCGUUUCAUCUGGGUCCGGGUCACGGGGGCAGCAGCUUCAGGAGGGAAGCCCAGACGGCCCUCACCCCAGCCACUUCCACCAGCUCCUCCGGGGGGAUUCCCAGGCGCUCCCAGGCCAUGCGAGAGAUAUAAUCCCUCCACCUGGUCCUGGGCCGGCCACAAGGUCUCCUCCCGGUGGGACAUGUCUGGAGCACCUCUAACGGUAGGCGUCCAGAAGGCAUCCUAACCAGAUGCCUGAGCCACCUCAGCUGACUCCUCUCGACGUGGAGGAGCAGCGGUUCUACUCUGAGCGUCUCCCGAGUGUCCGAGCUCCUUACCCUAUCUCUAAGGCUGAGCCCGGCCACCCUGUGAAGGAAAUCCGUUUUGGCCGCUUGUAUCCGCGAUCUUGUUCUUUCGGUCAUUACCCAAAGUUCAUGGCCAUAGGUGAGAGUAGGCACGUAGAUCGACCGGUAAAUCGAGAGUCUCGCCUUACGGCUCAGCUCUUUCUUCACCAUGACUGAUCGGUUAAGUGUCCACAUCACUGCUGACGCCGCUCUGAUCCACCUGUCAAUCUCUCGUUCCAUCCUGCCCUCACUCGUGAACAAGAUCCCGAGAUACUUGAACUCCUCCACUUGAGGCAGGACCGCCCCUCCGACCUGGAGAAGGCAAUCUACCUUUUUCCGACUGAGGACCUUGGCCUUGGACUUGGAGGUGCUGAUUCGCAUCCCAGCCGCUUCACAUUCGGCCGCGAACCACCCCAGCAAGAGCUGAAGGUCACUGCUCGACGAAGCUAGAAGCACCACAUCAUCCGCAAAAAGCAGCGACACGAUCCUCUGCCUGCCGAACUGGACACCCUCCACCCCCAGGCUGUGCCUAGAAGUUCUUUCAAUAAAGAACCGGUGACAAAGGGCAGCCCUAGUGCAGUCCAACCCUUACUGGAAACGAGUCCGACUUACAGCCGGCUACAUGGACCAAUCUCGUGCUCCUUUGGAAAAAGGAUUGGACGGCCCUUAAUAAGGAACCCUCCACCCCGUACUACUGGACACGGUUGUAGGUCUUCUCCAAGUCCACAAAACACAUGUGGACUGGUUGGGCAUUUUGGUCUCUUUGGCUAUUCCUACUUAUGUAGAGUAAAAUUUGAACUAAAUCAAUAAUUAAAAGUUAUUUAUACAAAUGUUGGUGGCCACUUUUGGGUGCUCAGCAAAUUUACAGAAUUUGACCUCUUGGCUAUGUUUGUGUUGUUACAGUAAUCUGAUGUUUUUUUUAUUCUUGUUGAUGUAAGAGAAUUCCAUAACUCCAUUAUACGUAAUAAAGUCUGCGUUAUGCAUUAUCCUGUCUUAAAGAGAAUUUGUUGCUAAUUUCCUAUUUGUCUCCUCUGCCUUGAUCAAUUCUUUAGUAAUUAAUUUAUCACUUGAAAUCAUACUUUAGCUUGACCCUGUAUAUUUGAAUCUUGGAUAAUUUUUUAAGGUAACAGAGGCUUCAGGUAUCAAAUCCAACCACAUAAACAACAGAGACCAAAUUGAGACUGUGGCUUUUGUUACCUUGAAAAUUUAGGGGACUUAAAUCUGUUUUUUAAAUAUAAAAGCUUAUUCACCAAGUGAAUAUAGUCUCACAUUUAGAGCACCCUCUUCACAUUCAAACCUGAGUGCAGCCAGUCUUUUUCUCCAUCCUGCUGUUAUCCACCCACAUUUUUUUGCAUUUGAACUGUUGCCCUUUUGGUCACAAGCCCCCUUUUCCCACCUUUAGGCCAUCAGCUACCCCCCAAACUCUCCAAUCUCAGCGAGCCACAGGACAGGAAUGUGAAAGUCAAAUAAAAGUGCAAGGGAAUCAGAGAGCUCCGCGUUAUGGGAGGAGGCGUGAAAAAAGCUCGGCACCAAAGUUCACUCUGUUUUUGGCCAAAGAUACCCUCAGAGAUAUCCAGCACCAGAGAUUACAUCUUUUUCAAAGUAAAUAAAUGGAAUUAUGAUGUUUUCCUUGGCCGUCCACAUUGUUUAUAAAAAGCAGAGAGAGCAGUCCGUUCACACUUAAGGUGAUAACUACAGUGGGCCUUUGUGAGGGCCGAGCGCUGGCCCAGGAAUGAUAGUUUACUUUGGACGCCAAAGUCGAGCUCAACUUUGUGUGCAAAGUUGUCAGGAUUUGUACCUUGUUUACAGAGCAUAACCCGUUUGUGAACUUGUCUGUUUUGCUGAGCAUGGUGUGUAGCUUCUGUAGCUUUUGCAUUUGGACUGGUGGGUACAAAUUGUACUUUAUAAAUUGUAACUGAGCUAUUUUCAUAAGUGCUGUACCUUUAGAGAAGAAAGUCUGUUUCUGGCAGGACUUUACCUGGAUGAUGGAUGUGUUUCUGAAGCUGAACAGAAAAGGCCUCUAGCUGAUACGAUUGCAGUGUGCUUACUGAGAGUAAUUCAGUAGUGACUCCAGUAGUCGUGUUUGGUUUAAAAGAGAAGCCAAUAUUUCACUGAAGCAUCCAACUGUGAUCUGAAUUUAUUCUGGCUGAGUUAUCUGACUGUUAAACUUAUUAAUACAGUGGUUUGUUUUUCUUUUUUAGCUCUAUUUUCUCAUUAGUAACUAUUCCGAUGCGCUUCUUGUUUGUUUACGCAUUGAUUUAUGUAUUUUAGUCUAUUUGUUUUUUUUUUUUCAAGAAUAAAAAGAGACUGAUCAAAAUUCAUUCAAAAACAAAAAUCCUGUGAUCAAGAUUUUUCAAUCAGAGCGGCCCCUUGCCUUUGGAACGACCUUCCUGAAGAGACAAAGCUUGCAGAAUCAGUGACAUAUUCUUAAAUGAUAAAUCUAAAUGAUACACUGACACAACAUCCUGGGGCACACUGGCUUCAUAAUAAAGCAUGUAAUUAUAAUAUCAACCAUACAAGUUAAUAAAAUUAUAUGAAAACUUAUUGCAUGUGGUAUGAGGUCAGACUGGGUCAUUAUAUCGAGGAUUGGCAUGCCCCCUCUCCAGAAAAACAACCAUAAUCCCUCGCAGGAGACAGAGUAGAACAGUUAAGGCCUCUGAUAGAAACUGACAGGUCAGUAAAAGCCGAAAUAUCAUCGGCUUCAUCAUCGACCACGGUGCUGGCAGCUGCAAAAAUAUCCCCUCUAAACAUCAUUGCCCGUCUUCUUGGAAAGGUGUGAAGUUUAUGACGCUAAAACCUGCAGAUACGAUAAACAGUUCAGCGCCAGAUUCACCUGAUUGGAAAGUUGGGUGCUGCCUGGUUCCCAGCUCAUGGUGCCGGUGAUGCUGACAUGGGUGCCUGAGCAGCUUCCCACAUAUCACCCUGUUACCGACUGAUAACUCAGCGCCCCGACCACCUCAGCUCUGUCUCUCAACACCUUCAUACACUGAGGUGUUUACUGACAGUCUUCACACGUGUAUUACAGGAGGUCACACUGCUGUAGCAGCCCACUCUAACAGCACUCUUACUAUGAACGCACAUUAGUUUUUACUGCUGAUAAUCUCUGAAGUUGUGCACGCCCAACUUUAUUUAUUCUAAUUUCCUGUAACAUCACAGAAGAUGAAACAUAGAAAAAAUAUGUGGGUUAUAAAUUAUGAUGCCAUGACUGCUGAAAUGCUGCAAAGAUUAUCUCCUCUAGGAUUCUCAUACAGAGUCUCUAAGACCAGUAUUUUUUCAUGCUAUUUCAUGUUAUGAUGUCUCAAGUUUCAAGAAGUGAAAUAAGCAGACUUAGAGAAACAUGCAAAUGAAAAAUGGGCGGGAUAGAGCUGGGAAUAUAUACUGUACAUCCAUGCUAGCCUCUUCUUGAGCAAGCAGCAAAUCAAACAGAGAUGAAUCCAUUGGUGUAAGUUUAAUUCACCUCUGUGCAGAUGGACAGGUUUUCUUCGUAAACAUGCAAUAUAACCAAACAGUGCCAAACAGACAUAGACAAAUACAGGAUAUAUGAUGCUGUGUCGGCCUAUAUAAACCACAUUUGCCAUUUGUAUGUUGAAUAUUGAUGUCAAGGUGUUAAAACCAAAACCACCAUUUUAUCUGUCCCCAGGAAUAUAUACAACACACUGUUUAAGCCUGGAAGGUGUUUUUCAAAGUCUGUUUUCGAAGACCAGUAACUCUCUAUAUGUGGGGACACAGGCCUUUAACCCACAAAAAAUAGAACUUCUUGCCUGAUUCUUUAAGGUUGUGAAAAAUGCAAAACUUGGAACAGGCCCAGAAACAGUAAGACGUUACAAUGCCCCCUAAACUUACAACACUAGCGCUGGAUAAAAGUUGGUCAAAUUGAGGCACAAGCAAAUAUAUUUCUGGACAUAUUCUCAGUGACGUUACAGAUGUUGGUAUUGAAACCCACAGCCUUAGAGCUCCCACCUGCCAGUCAAGUCAGCCAUGCCACUACUUUGCCAAACACUUAACCUUAAAACUACAAAACUAAAGUUUUAAAAGUAUUCAUCAAAAUAAGCUUAUUCAGACCAAAAUUAUCUUUUGAACAAGGCUGUAAAUAUGUUUAUAUUUUCUGAUUUUUUAGAAUGAGUGUGUAUGUAGCCUAUGGUGAUUUGUAACCAGCCUCAAGUGGACACUUGAGGAACUGCAGUUGGCUUCUUUUCUCAAGACCAGCUUGGUUGUCAGAUAUAUGAUUUAUGAUUGUCUUGGUAAAAAGUUUGUGUUUGGCAAAACAAUGCUUUGGCACAUUUUAGUUGUUUUGGAACUUUUUUCCAGACUCAUAUACUCAGAUAUACUCACAGAUUUGUACAUUGGACUUCUGGCCUUGGCAGAUGACACUGCUCACUAAAUCUCCCAGACUGUUUUUCAGCUGUACAUACAGCAGGUGUCUCUCGACUGAAAAGAAAAUGAUUCGAUCUUGAACCUGAUUUAAAACACCUGCUCCACGAACACAUGGAAAAGUGUUUGAUUGUGAAACUCCUCGUGCCCUCCAGAGUGUCAGGACACCAGUCAGAGUCUCCUGUUAUAUCAGCAGGUCGACUGGUCAAGUCAGCGUUGUUUUGCUGUUGUCCGAGCCGUUUGAUGUUCUAUUUCUGCUCACACUUGAAAGACCUCUCUGUCACAUUAAUCAGGGCAGCAGUGAAUGCCACACAGUGUUUUCUGUCAAUCUGGAGGCCUCUGACCACACUCACAACGAUUUAUUGAGAAAAAAAAAAAGCAUCUAUAUUUGUAGCAGCAACCUUUUGCCGGGCCUCGCCAGCUGAUGUCAGUCAAUUAUUUGUCCCCCUGAAUCUAAUACUUUUUCUGCCUGUGCCAAAACUCUGAGCAUGGAGAAUCAAGAUCCCCGCGCAUACACACGCUUGUAUGCACAGACGCACACUGACGCACACACUCGCAGAUGCCGUCUCUUGCUUUCGGUCAGCGCGGAAAAUCAGACACUGCAUCCAUCUGCUUGUGUUAUUCCUAGCAACCAAAGUUGUGUUGCUCCACUGAAGAUCUCCCCACAUGAACUUGUCAAUCAGGCAGCAGCCAAUUGAUGUUUUAUUGUUUUGUUUUUCCCUUCCAAGACUCUUCUUAACCUCGUUAAGAUUUUUUAUAUCAUGAUGUUGUGGAUCCGUGCCUCAUCAGGUUAGCCAUGUUUAUCUGUUUACAGGCCUUUCUGCUAACUUUAGAUGCCUGUGAGUCAGAGCUGAGGGAAUAAAAGCCAGAGAAGAGCUUUAUGUGUUUCAAUCUAAGGCCAGCAACAAUUUUUUAAAGUUUCUUAAUGAUUGGUAGCUUCAGGGAAGAAAAAAAAACAUGAGAUUACAGUGUGCACUUCCUAUGGGUGCUUCUGAAAAGUGUCACACUACCAAAUCGGUCAAAAGUUGCCUAAAAAAAGGUGCCCUGUACAAGUUGUACGUCAUGGUGGGUGAAACCACAUCUGUUUAGACGAAUGUGUGAUUUAGUGUUGUGGGUUUAAGAGGGGAGAAAAGCCAGGAAAACUUGAUAAACCACACAAAUCCACCAUAACCACAGAAAGCCUUGGUAAACUAGAGUAAUGCCCAAAUGAAGUGUGAGAAAAAGGAGGAAAAGAACGACUUUGUAAUACCUUUAACGACACGGUUUACUCAGGGAUGAGUGUCGAGUUUCCGCGGAAAUAUUGCCGCGUCCGAAAUGUGGGGCGGCAUUUGUCUCAUUUUGCACGCUGACUUACGCUUUGGUAUUACACUGGAAAUAGUUAUGCUUGGAUUUCAAGCCUGGUGCACUAUUGCACUGACCUUCAUCCACUUCCAUUAAAAAUAUACUGCAUUCCCAUUGUAUGUGUUUAUUGGCAGAGGGAGGGUUUCUGAGGAGCAGUUGCUACUUUUAUUCGAGACAUGUCUCUGCUCAAAACACUUGUUUCAAGUCCUGAUGACAGUAUUUCAUGAAUUACAACACACAUACCAAAGACACUGCUAUUCAUGCUUUGCAGCUGUGAUACUAUAGUACUUGAUUAUUGCUUCUAGAUACUUUAAUAUUUAUUUCAAUUUACCAUGCUUACUUAGAACCUACAAACAUAGACACACUUGUUUUAAAUGAGCUCUAUAAAUAAAGUUUGAGUUGAGUUGUUAUUUACUGAAUUGAUUAAACUGAAUUUGCUAAAGUGGUGCAGAUUUUCUAUCCAACAACUUGAAAACUUAGCUAAACAGGUUUAAGAUAACAGCGUAAGAUUUGUGUUUGAUCUUGGGGAAUUCAGUGCCAUGAAGUCAAUAGUUUUAUUUACUUAAAGAUGUAAUUUACAUUUUUUUAAAGCAACGUUUUGGGGAUUCCCUGCUCCAAAAUUGAUGCACCACAAGUGCUCGUGUUAUAUGAAUAUUAGAGCUCACACAAUUAUUUUUAAAAUUGUGAUUAAAUUACAGAAUUUCAAUAGUUCAACAUCAUAAUAUUGAUCACAUGUUUAAAAUUUGGAUCACUUUGCAUUGUAGGAAAGUUUUUGAGGUAAUAUCAUCAAUGGAAGGCAAAGAGCUUAUCCUGUGAAAAUCAGCAUCUGUUUUAUUUCAUUAAAUUUUUAUUUCACUUUAUCGCAUUAGAAAUUAUGCAUCAGUAUCCACAAAGUCUGCAUUUUUUUCCCCCAAUUUAACGCAAUUUUUCUGGCUAUACUUUUUUGUUAGAAUAUUGAAUGCAGGAGUUUAUAGGUGUAAUUUAUUUAUUUUUUUUUAAUUGAGAAUUCCUGCCGUAGUUUUACUAAAACAACCAGCAUGGGAUCAUUUUUGCUGUGUGAGAGGUGAAGCUGUUAUUGACCUCCUAAGUUUGUGGGAGACGGUGAAGUGGCCAGAAAAUAAAUGAGUAAAAUAAUCAAAAUCAAAGCAACAUGGCAAUGAAAAACAGCCGACCAGAUAAAAAGUGGUAUCCUCACUUAGUGUGCGUACACAAAGAGGCCUAAAUUUAGUCUUUUAUUCCCCAAUUAAAGAACAUAGAGGUUACAUUGUGUAUUUUUACUGGGUCUUGCAUGUUGGAUCUUAAAAGGGACAAACUAAAUACCUGUUCAAUAAAAAAAAACAAUCAAAAAAGAGAAAAAUAUAAUUUAAAUGUUUAUUACCAAAAAAAUAUAAAAACUUGGUGCAUUGCUCUCCAACAGUCGCUAUCUAUAAGGAAAACACCAUCUAACUUCUCCAAGUUUUCUGUUUAUAGCAUGCAUGCCUUAAGUUGAAUUCAAGAUGUAUUUAAUAUGAAUAAGUUUGGUCAACAAGAACUUAAAAGAAGCUCAAAGUCACUGUAGAUCACGAUGAAUGAAGCAGAGAGGAUGUUCAGAGCUUGUUUUUUGGUCUUGACGUGCUCUCCGGCUGAAGGAGGCAGAGUGGUAACAGGUGUCUAAGUCAGACUGACGUUGAUGGAUUUCUGGGAAGACCCUGUCACACCAGCAGCACGAGUACCUCGACUCAUCAUCAUCAAAACGCUGACCUGUGACAACAUGACCUUGCUCUUUAUUAUACAACCUCAAGGAAGGGCUCAGAGUCGAGAUGUAAUGGAAAAGUUCUUGGUGCUUUCUGCCUCUGUGUUUCCACUGAAGGCAUGACCAGUGUGCGGUCGGCAGCCUCAGCUUCUCUUUGUAACUUCACAGACCCCGAAUCUUACCCGCUUCUAUAAAACCGCUCUUUAAAUUCAAUGGGUAGCAGGUGGGGGCUCCAUGCCUGUGGCAGGAAUGCAGGGCCAGGAGAAGGACUCUGUGGGGGCUUAGAGAUGCCCCUUGGCACCGGGGAGGAGACCUCUGCAGGGCUGCCCUUUAGGGCUGCACAGCCAGUGAGAACCAAGUUCAGCUUGAAGUCUCUACAUGUGAACCUGUCACUCUCACAAUCUGGAGGCUGUGCGGGAGGAGGGGUGUGUAUAUGGGGGGAGGAUUUAGACCAUUAGUUCUGGGCUGCCCGGGUACACACUCACAUGUGUGCGGAGAGUCACUGAGGUCUUUCUGCUAAUUAUAGGCUGAAAUCUGACAGAGAAAAAUUAGAGGGAAAAGGGACAGCUGCAGGCUCCUGAGGACGACCAAGGGAAGAGGAGAAAGAAGAGGAGGGGGUUUUGAUUUCUCUCUAAAUCCUCAAACCCCCCUCCUUAAACCUGAAAACAAAAUUCAAUCAUCUCAGUGUCUUCCUUGCUCUCUUAUCCCUCCUCAACACAACACUGCCGCCUCCAGCGCCCUCUCAGACGAGAGGUCAAAGGUCAGUCUCAGUUGGGAUCACCCAGGUUUCACAGGAUGUCCCAACUUUUUCUGAACUAAUGCCGUUUCCUCCAGGGGGGCUUAGCCAGCAGCCAGAGACGAACCUGAGAGCCCCCCUGUCUGAAUCGGGUCACAUCAGCAACCAUCACUCACAAACUCACACAUGUGUACACGCACAAUAUGAAAACACAUAUAUCUUACAUCACCAAAGUUACAUAAUGAAUACUCAUAGCAUUUUAACAAUUAUUAAUCCAAAGUCUCUGAUAAGCUCAAGUAUUUGGUGGAUGUUGCUGAGUCUGAUUUAAAAGGCUCAAGUGUUCAGCAGUAGUGAUGGGCACAGCAGUUUUUUUAGAUGUACUGAAUCAGUGCACUAAAAAGAUUCGUUCACCAAAUCAGAUCAUAGCUUCUGGGACUGGGAGACGAGAGCGUUUUCCUGUGAUGCUUUGGCGAACAGGUUUGUACAAAUGAACUUGUUUAUAAGUCAUGAUGUUAAAAGUGUACUGUCCUAUGGUAUGCUAUUUGUCAGGUCUAGACUCGGUGAGUGAUUUGUUCACUAAACGUUUAGAAGGAUUCACACUGAACAUGCACCGUUCCCCCACUGCAAUGAUAGGAUGCUGCGGGUUUAAUGCACUACUUGUUACAUGUUGUGUCCUAUUGUAUGCAAGUUGUUGUGGUGGCAAUUUAGCAGUGAAAAAGAAAAGGUAGUUUUGCCCGACAAAAAUGAUUCCAGAGUGUAGUUAAAUGUGUGAUUUGUUCACCAAGUCAUUCAGGCGUCGGUGCAUGUGGUCACUCGUUUGCCGGCUGCUCAGCUCAACUGAAGUGAUAAACGAACGAAUCACUUGAGGAAGUGAUUGGGUUCAGUACGUUCACUUAAAAGAUUUGUUUCAUUUGAACGAAUUGUUCGCGAAUGAUACAACACUAUUCAGCAGAAUUCACCAAAACAGAUGAUGGAAUAACUAGAGGCGGGCAGGCUUUCAAAUGCUGAUGAUAUCUAAGAAUUUUUAUUUAUAGAUGUCAAUGAGGAAAAAAACUUGGCAAAUGGAGGAUUAUACUUCUCAUACAUCACAUUUAUGAGGUAAUUUGUUUAUUUUUUUGUUUACAGGUCAGCUGAUCACAGUUAUAGUCAGUGAUUGGUCAACAGACACAAAAAGAUGGCAGCUUCUGCAUUGUAUAGUCAGUGGACAACAGAAUUAUUACAGAUUCUCAUAGAUUUUGAUCUGGAUUGCCCCCAUGAUAGAAAAGUUUUAAAAUAACACAGAAACGUGCAGUUUAUCACUGUGGAAUACCGUCCUAACGAAGUGAGUGGAUUUUAAUGUAAGUGGCCACAUUGUACCACACUACAAUAUUGUGUUAUAUAGGGCUGGGUGAUAAACUAAAAAUUUACCAACAACGAAAUUUACGACAAUAACUCACAUCAUUUUGCCGAUAUCAAUAUAGUCAGUGUCAAAGAGGGAAAGACAGGAGAGGAGACAGAGGAUGGUUGAAGUUAAUGUGGAAGGGGGUGAACAGCUUGUGGACUAGUUAUCGUUCAUUUAUUGUUAUCGAGGUGAACUACUCAAUAUAUCGUGAUAUUAAAUGAAGGUCAUAUUUCCCAGCCCUAGUGUUGUAUACUACAUGGUUGACUCCAGGUCAAUAUAAGACGACCCCCCUUUGUUUGUAGGUGUGUUUAUCUUACAUUUGGGUCAACACAGAACUUACCAUCUAUAAUGAUUUUGUAUUCUUUGAAUGAAAAUAUAACAUUUCCACACCAUCACAACAAACACACAUGGUUUUGAAGAUGACUCAGCCUCUCCUCAAUCCAACUCUGCUCUGUGCUGGGAGUAUGUUACCCAUCCCAGCCUUCAUAAUGUGACAGUGUGCAAAAUGUUCCUCCAUGUCAGUGUAAUAUUGUAAGAUCAUUAUCUUGUUACUGGGGUUUCCGUGAGAAUGUCCUGAGCUCGCCUUGGACCAGCUUAACCGUCUUACAGCCCAGGCACAGUAGCCGAGCGCAGAUUGUUCCCCUCCCCGCUCUGAUUGACAGGUGUCCAACAAUCCCCGUGGCUUUGCGCCGGAGAUCCGAAGAAGCUGGACGGAGGCCCCCCGGUGCGGCUGGGUCUGACCUUGCCCGGCUCAUCAAUAGCAUUCAUUGCUCCCAGGCUGCAUGUGACAGGUGCUCCGACCCCUCAGGCCUAAAUCCUGCCCCUUUUUAUUGGUCCUCCUGCCUUUCCUCUCAUACAUGUUUCCUCCAGGGACAUUAGGGAGCGAGGCUCAGGUCCCCUCGGGCUCACAUUAAAUGCCUGUGGUUAAUUAGCUGAGGUUGCUAUUACCAGCAGAGGUGGAAACCUCUACCAGUGCACCCCAGCCUGGGAACACUGGGAGAUGUGUGAUCUGUGCUCUGAGACGAGAUAGAAUUUGUAGUUUUCAGUCCGGUCCCAAACCUCUGCCAGGUUCUCCCACAGUGAGUCAAAUGCAGCAGUUUUCCUCUUCUCCUUCCACCUGCAGAGAAGACUCACACCUCCCCCCUAGUGGCUGCUGCUGCACAUGCACCCUUACAGACAACCUAGUGCCUCCAGAGACGAUGACAUGAGCACACGUCUCAGAGUACACAGAAUAAAUGCUCUGUUACUAACAUGCUUUCACUGACACUUAAUUUAAUUGUCAUAAUUGUUGAGUUUUCCUGAUAACAGAGUCUCUGAUUAUGGUUCUUUUACACUUCAUAUUUGUAGUCAUCUCUUUUAUCCAGGCCUGUGAAAAAUUAAAGUUUGAUGUGGAAAUGAGAAAAUUUACAUGCACAAAAGCAGGGUAUGUUUCUCUUUAAACAGCUCUCUGUUAGCUUACACCCCCUGAGAUGCGUUGUCGCCCUGAGGCAAAGUGAAGGAAAUAAACUCUCCAACACCCAGGCCUCCUGCUGACUCGAGUUUGUUGAUGAAAUCUGGCAAAACUCCACAAUCUCUCUCUCUUACACAAGACUUGGAGAGUAGUUUUUGUCAAAUCCUUGGAUAGAGUUUUUCCUGUGUUUCUGCCAUCAGUGAGCAUCCUGUGUCCUUCUUUUCAGACACAUGGUCACAGAAUUACAUGAUGCUCUUCCAUUGAGAAAACAUACAUACGGAAAUCCUACAUAUGUGAUUUGAAAUACAUUUUUUUUACGUCUCUGUAUUGCCUUUUUUUCUGCCACACACACACAGCCAUGGAGUUUUUCUUUUUCUUUUUUUAAAAAUCUUAUCCAAAUCUGUCUCAUGCCUUUAAACACGCUAUUCAGAGAAAAAAGUAACUUUGCUUCUUCUGCAAGAACUUUAUUGAAUAGACUUUGAAGCUACAGUAUACAGCUUCUUUAUAUGCAUUACAAUAGAGUCUUCGGAGCAGGAUCACACCUCAGGUGCCCCUCUUCUGGCAUCCUUAUAAAUUCAGUCCUAUCCCUCUCCUCCUCUUUCAUAUUUUGUCUGCCCUCUGACCUGCACAUUUAUCCCCAUAUUUCUUUCCUUCCUUCAAUCUGCAGGGCUCCUCUAAGGGAGUUUACUGUGUAAGGGUGCGACUGAGUACUCCCUAACAAGCCC